GUUCAGCUCUCUGGUUGUGUGGCUGAUGGAGGACUCUGGGCGUUGGUGUGCUCAGACUGCAGUGGUGUCUUGUGGUCUGAAUCCUUUUGUUUUGUUGUAUGUUUGUGCAAGAGGAUCAAGUUUAGAGGUACCGUUCCAUUUCUGACCUGAUAAAUCUACCACCCUUCCCGUCCAGAAGGAGCUUUAAAACACUGGAUCCUCUUUGAGCUACGCUUAAAGGUCAGUCCAGCUUUGUUCUCUGUGGAGACUCUGAUCAUGUCGCUGUCCAGAUCGAUGUAACGUACCGGGAGAAAAAACCGAGAGCAGAGAAACACCCCACGGAUCUAAGUUGUCGGUGGUGUUGUUAACGCAGUGUUGGCCUGAGGAGAGCUGCAGACGGACAUCCUGCACAUCUCUCUGAUACACAUGGUGUCUCCAGCUGCUUCAUUUUACUUGCCAACAGGGAGCUUCACUAGCAGAGUGUAACAUUGCCCCCCCCCCCCAUCAUGAGCACAGAAACAAGGAUAUCAUCCCCCGCCGGCUUCCUACCCACAGACAUUUGUGUUCAUUGAAAUGCAUGGCUAAUCAGUCCACCAACCUCCCAGGGGCUACAUUUCUGCAACUGUAGGUAAGAAGUUUGUGUGUGACACCAUUUCUCUACUAAUUCUGUGAGUCUUUCUGAGGCUGUAACGGCGUUGUGUUAUAAUAUGAACAGUUGCUCAUUUCGCGUCGCCCUCUCUACGCGCAAACAGCCAACCGAAUAAUGUCCGUCACCUGACCCAAUUACAGAAAGUAUAAAAUGAAUGCAACCAGAAAUAUAAUCAAAUAUCUUAUUUUUGCUCACAUGUUUGCUGUAUUAUUAAUCUAAAAUCAAAUAUUGGACCUGGUAAAAUGCUACAUGCAUGAGUGGGCUUGCCGUCUAAAUAAACAGAGCUUCAUGAUUUAUUUACAAAUGGAGAGCCUCCUCCAAAGCUCAUCUGUUGAUAACUAAUGCAGUUGGACACCUCUUCAGCCCCCCUGUAUUUUCAUGGGGAUUUACUGUCUUGCGUGAUUUAGAUUUAUUUUUUUUAAAUUAUUUUAUUUUGCUCACAUGUAUUCAUGCAGGUCCAGAUUUGGUCUUUAAGGACAGUGACGAACAAACACUCUGAACUGCGGAAUAAAAUCUUUCCAAAUCUUUGCAAAUGUACAGUAUAAUUAGAAAAGUGCAUGUAGUCACAUUGCCUCUGUUGUAAAUGUAAAACAUCUGUUUCGAACUGCUCUCUGACAUGUUUUUGAUAUUUAUAGACUGUGCUGUUUACAUACUGUAUAAUUUUAAACUCCCUGCCCAUGAUUUCAUACUCAUGAUGUUAUUUUUCAUUUUAAUCCACAAGUAGA